CCUACGGGAGGCAGCAGUGAGGAAUAUUGGUCAAUGGGCGAGAGCCUGAACCAGCCAAGUCGCGUGAGGGAGUACUGCCCUAUGGGUUGUAAACCUCUUUUGUCGGGGAGCAAAAGCCGGACGUGUCCGGCUGUGAGAGUACCCGAAGAAAAAGCAUCGGCUAACUCCGUGCCAGCAGCCGCGGUAAUACGGAGGAUGCGAGCGUUAUCCGGAUUUAUUGGGUUUAAAGGGUGCGUAGGCGGACAGUCAAGUCAGCGGUAAAAAUGCGGUGCUCAACGCCGUACAGCCGUUGAAACUGGCAGUCUUGAGUGGGCGAGAGGUAAGUGGAAUUCCUGGUGUAGCGGUGAAAUGCGUAGAUAUUAGGAGGAACACCAGUGGCGAAGGCGGCUUACUGGACUGUAACUGACGUUGAGGCUCGAAAGCGUGGGGAGCAAACAGGAUUAGAUACCCCGGUAGUC
rnacentral:rRNA from 1 species